UACGUAGGGCGCAAGCGUUAUCCGGAAUUAUUGGGCGUAAAGAGCUCGUAGGCGGUUUGUCGCGUCUGCCGUGAAAGUCCGGGGCUCAACUCCGGAUCUGCGGUGGGUACGGGCAGACUAGAGUGAUGUAGGGGAGGCUGGAAUUCCUGGUGUAGCGGUGAAAUGCGCAGAUAUCAGGAGGAACACCGAUGGCGAAGGCAGGUCUCUGGGCAUUAACUGACGCUGAGGAGCGAAAGCAUGGGGAGCGAACGGG
rnacentral:rRNA from 1 species